rnacentral:tRNA from 1 species
GGGGAUUGGGAAUGCUUGGGGUGUUCACCUCGCUUGCACCGAGGAUAUCAGGAGGGUUCGAAUCCCUCAAUCUCCACCA